rnacentral:rRNA from 1 species
UACGUAGGCAGCGAGCGUUUGUUCGGAGUUACUGGGCGUAAAGGGUGUGUAGGCGGUUUCUUAAGUUUGGUGUGAAAUCUCCCGGCUUAACUGGGAGGGUGCGCCGAAUACUGAGAGGCUCGAGUGCGGGAGAGGAGAGUGGAAUUCCUGGUGUAGCGGUGAAAUGCGUAGAUAUCAGGAGGAACACCGGUGGUGUAGACGGCUCUCUGGACCGUAACUGACGCUGAGACACGAAAGCGUGGGUAGCAAACAGG